UCCGCCGAUCGGCUCUGGGCGCGGACCGACGCGGAUUGGGAGGGCGGCAAAACCCCGUCUCGCCUGGAGCGUCGUCCUCUUGAUUGUGGUAGGCAGCGCGCUCCAGGCGUCGGCUUGCGGGCCCCCCAUUCGGCCCGUCUUGAUACACGGACCAAGGAGUCUGUCAUGUGUGCGAGUCAACGGGCGAGUAAACCCGUACGGCGCAAGGAAGCUAAUUGGCGGGAUCCCCUAGCUGGUGCACCGCCGACCGACCUUGAUCUUCUGAGAAGGGUUCGAGUGUGAGCAUACCUGUCGGGACCCGAAAGAUGGUGAACUAUGCCUGAGCGGGGCGAAGCCAGGGUAAACUCUGGUGGAGGCCCGAAGCGAUACUGACGUGCAAAUCGUUCGUCUGACUUGGGUGUAGGGGCGAAAGACUAAUCGAACCG
rnacentral:ncRNA from 1 species